AGAGUUUGAUCCUGGCCCAGGAUGAACGCUGGGACUGUGCUUUACACAUGCGAGUUGAACGUUAUAGCAAUCAGGAAGCUAAACGCUUUUUGAUCUAGAAAGUGGCGAACGAGUGAGUAAUACUGUAGAACUUGCCAAAAGGUCGGGGACAAAAUACCUGAUAGAAUCUAUAUUGAUUUAUAGAUGAAAGAUUAAUUUCGCCUUUUGAUAGGCUAUGGGAGGUUUAGGUAGUUGGUGGGGUAAAGGCUUACCAAGCCGAUGAUCCUUAGUUGGUCAGGGAGGUCGGACAACCACGUUGGAACUGAGACAAGGUCCAAGCUUUUUCGGAGGGCAGCAGUGAGGAAUAUUGGGCAAUGAACGAAAGUUUGACCCAGCGACAGUCCGUGAGUGAGUAAAUGAAGGUCAAUCUAUCGGCUGUAAAACUCUUUCGGCGAGUAAAGAUAAUGACAGAACUCGAGGCAAGAAGCCGGGACUAAAUUUUGUGCCAGCAGUCGCGGCAAUACAAAAUCGGCGAGUGUUAUCCGGAGUUAAUGGGCGUAAAGGGUAUGUAGGUUGCUAUUCAAUUAUACUGAGAAAUGCUAGGGAGGAUACCUUAGAAUUUCAGUUUUAAAAUGUUUAGCUUUGAGGAAUAAAGAGGUUGGACGUAUUUCCAGAGUAGAGGUCGAAUUCUUAGAUACUGGAAGGACGAUCAUUUAGCGAAGGCAUCUUUCCAUUUAUUUCUGACGCUGAGGUACGAAGGCAUGGGGAGCAAACAGGAUUUGAUACCCUGGUAGUCCAUGCAGUCAACUAUGCAUAUUAAAGGUUUGGAUUUUUUCUGAGUCUUAACAGCUAACGCGUUAAAUAUGCCGCCUGGGGAGUACGAUCGCAAGGUUGAAACUCAAGGGAAUUGACGGAAACUUUUACUAGCAGUGGAGCGUGUGGUUUAAUUUGAUGAUCCACGAAAAACCUUACCAGUUUGUAGGUUAAAAGGAUGUUUAUAACCUGCUGUAUCCAAGUAUAUCUUGGAAUAUGGUAACGUAGGUUAUUGAACUUAUACUUUUAGCCACAGGUGUUGCAUGGCUGUUGUAAGCCCGUGUUGUGAAACGUAUGGUUAAAUUCUACGAACGGGCGAGACCCUUCUAUUUUGUUACCGUUGGUUAAACAAAUUGACUAACUUUGGGGUAUUUUACCUCGGAGAAUGAAGGUGAGGAGCACAACAAGUCCUUAUGGCCCGUAUAAACUGGGCUACACAUGCGCUACAAUGGAGGGCACAAUAGGAUGCAAGAUUUUUUUCGAGCUAAUCCUUAAAACCUUUCUUAGUUCAGAUUACUUUCUGCAAUUCGAAAGUAUGAAGGCGGAAUUGCCAGUAAUCGCGUAUCAGCAGAGUCGCGGUGAAUAUGUACUGAAGUUUUGUACAAACUGCCCGUCACGGCCUGAAAGGUGGUUCGCUUAAAGUAGUCUUAUUUAGUUUACAUACCGUUAUGAGUAGUAAAAGAAUAACCUACGUCUGUGGAUUGCUAAUUGGGACGAAGUCGUAACAAGGUA
rnacentral:rRNA from 1 species